rnacentral:tRNA from 1 species
GGAUUGUGGCUCAGUGGUAGAGUGCUCGCCUAGCAUGUGUGCGGCGCUGGGUUCAAUCCUCAGCACCA